rnacentral:rRNA from 1 species
UGGGGAAUUUUGGACAAUGGGGGCAACCCUGAUCCAGCAAUGCCGCGUGAGUGAAGAAGGCCUUCGGGUCGUAAAGCUCUUUUGUCAGGGAAGAAACACCGGCUCUAACACAGUCCGGGAAUGACGGUACCUGAAGAAUAAGCACCGGCUAACUACGUGCCAGCAGCCGCGGUAAUACGUAGGGUGCAAGCGUUAAUCGGAAUUACUGGGCGUAAAGCGUGCGCAGGCGGUUAUACAAGACAGGCGUGAAAUCCCCGGGCUUAACCUGGGAAUGGCGCCUGUGACUGUAUAGCUAGAGUGUGUCAGAGGGGGGUAGAAUUCCACGUGUAGCAGUGAAAUGCGUAGAUAUGUGGAGGAAUACCAAUGGCGAAGGCAGCCCCCUGGGAUAACACUGACGCUCAUGCACGAAAGCGUGGGGAGCAAACAGGAUUAGAUACCCUGGUAGUCCACGCCCUAAACGAUGCUGACUAGUUGUUCGGGAUUUAUAUCCUGAGUAACGUAGCUAACGCGUGAAGUCAGCCGCCUGGGGAGUACGGUCGCAAGAUUA